CCCUUGGCCUUGACAUACUAAGAACUUUCCAGAGAUGGAAUUGGUGCCUUCGGGAACUUAGAUACAGGUGCUGCAUGGCUGUCGUCAGCUCGUGUCGUGAGAUGUUGGGUUAAGUCCGCAACGAGCGCAACCCUUUUCCUUAUUUGCCAGCGGGUAAUGCCGGGAACUUUAAGGAUACUGCCAGUGACAAACUGGAGGAAGGCGGGGACGACGUCAAGUCAUCAUGGCCCUUACGGCCAGGGCUACACACGUGCUACAAUGGUCGGUACAAAGGGUUGCUACCUCGCGAGAGGAUGCUAAUCUCAAAAAGCCGAUCGUAGUCCGGAUCGCAGUCUGCAACUCGACUGCGUGAAGUCGGAAUCGCUAGUAAUCGCGGAUCAGAAUGCCGCGGUGAAUACGUUCCCGGGCCUUGUACACACCGCCCGUCACACCAUGGGAGUUUGUUGCACCAGAAGUAGGUAGUCUAACCGCAAGGAGGACGCUUACCACGGUGUGGCCGAUGACUGGGGUGAAGUCGUAACAAGGUAGGCGUAGAUGA
rnacentral:rRNA from 1 species